rnacentral:lncRNA from 1 species
UUGACACCUUCAAGAGGGAUCUCCCACUGCCCCUCAAUUAUCUUGUCCUUAUGUCCCAAAGGCUAGCAAGCUAACCAGAUGGUGUCUGCCAUCUUUGUCCUCACUCUGAUGCCUACCUCUAUUCCCAGGGCUUAAAAGUUCACUGUCUGCUUGGUCACCUAAGGGAAUCCUGGUGCUGCUGCUGUAGCAGGAAUCCUGCCCCUCAGUUUCCCCUAAAGAGCUAGAGGAUAAUGUUCUCACUACUCAGGGCAGUAGCAGGAAGCCCUGCUAUCUCUUACCUGCUGCUGUGGAAGAAAUUAUUCCAUAAAACUGCACUUUGCCCUUCUUCAGUCGUUGUCAGUUUGACUCAUCUGCCCAAUUGUUCUCCCCUAUACUACUAACUGUGGUUACUCCAGUGGCUAAUGGAGCUAGGGCCAUUAGUCAGCACAGAUUAGUCCUAAAAAGCUACCCACCCUCCCACUUGUGGCCCUUUAUCCUUCUGUAGAUUUUCUUGGACUUCUUAAGCUCUUCCAAGUUUCACCUGGCUAUUCCUCUCUACAAGUCCUAAAGCCAGCCCAGGUGGGAGCUGUGUAUGCAGAGGGGAAGAAGUGUUAGUGGCUGGAGCUGGAACUUACUGACAUGUGUUUUCACUUUGUCGCCUGUGUCUUACAGCUGUGUCGCCUGUCCUGCAGUCUACCCAAGUCAACACUUAAUCCACCUUCACCUCAUCACCAGAGUAACCUCCCUCUGGGAAGGUGGAAGGUACACAGACGAUGUAAUGCAUGAGGAAGUCUGGCAGGAGAAUGAAUUUGAAGAAUUAGGCAACACUCUGAAACUAAAGAGCCAGCAAGCCUUGAACCAGUGGUGAUAAGUGGGAGUUGUAUAUGAGCAAGAUGAAACUUACUAUGGGUCACAAAGAGAACUGACUGGUGACCACAGUGAAUAAGAACUCAAUGGAUACUUGAGGUUUACUGGAAGAGUAAUGGAGGGUGUGUGGUAGAAAUAUAUUCAUGUAUGAAGAGGUAAUAAUCUGCUAGUAAAGUACAAAUGGAAUCAGUAUAGAGCUAAGACUUGGAUUCGGGCUUUUUUGUUUUUUUGUUUGUCUCAAGAUUUUUCUGUAUUCAAAUGUGAAUCUUUUUAUUACUGAGUAGUAUUCUACAGUACAGAUCUACCACAGUUUGUAUAGCCACUCACCUAUUCUGGAUUAAUUCUAGUUUUGUUUUCUUUGUUAUUUCAAAUAAAGCUCUUAUUAAUAAAAGUACUUAAUAGUAGGGUUUUUUUAAAGAUUAAUUUUGUGUACAUGUGUACCUGUGUCAGAGUUUGUGCUUGUGAAGACAGUUGCCCAAGGAGCCCAGAUGCAUUGCAUUUCCCCUAGAGGUAGACCUACAGGUGGUUGUAAGCCAUGAGCACUGGGGACUAAACUCUGGUCCUCUGGAAAAGCAAUAUGCAGUAUGCACUCUUAAACAAUGAACUGUCAUUCCUGACCCAAGAGUAGGUUUUACAUGAUUUCAACAGACAAAAAUGACGAAUUUAUUGCUUCAUGCCUACAAUGUAUGUUUAGCACAUUGAAACAUCACAUGACACCCCGUAUCAUCACAUGCUCGGAUUAUUUGUCAAAUAUAAAUUUAGAAGGUUGAAGGUAGUGUCCUUGUCCAUGGAUACUAGAGGCUGGCUUGCAGUGAGCUAGCCUGGAGUACAGAGAAGGAGGGCUAUGGGGCCUGUAAGGGACAAAGGCAGAGGGAUAGUAAGCUAGAAUCGGCUUCAUGUCCUUGCCAUGUUGCUGCCUAGGGUGGAGAAGCAGCUCUUUGUAGAAAACGCCUCUCAGGGGAGAAAAUAUGAGACUUUGUGAAAGCACAGGAUUAGCUGUCAAUCUUAUGAGAGUCACACAUGUCCCUUCUGUCCACAAUUUGUUUUUAUCAAUCAGAGCAUGGCUCAUAGUUUAACACUGGUAUCUAUCAGGACAAGAACAAUACCCUUCCCAUAAAAGGAGACUACUAGGAAUAGACAGCAGAUAAUUUUAGAAUAAAUAAUACAAUCAGCCACAUUUGCAUUUUUCUCUUUUUAUUAUAC